CAUUUAUCUAAAUAUUAUCUACUGGUUUGCACAGCGUGGCCACAGGCCAUCGUCUCAAAAAAAAAUUCCUAUAUAUCUUAAGGAUUUUUUUUUGAGACGAAAGCCUGUGAGCGUGGCCUAUAUAAUUAGUUACAUGAUGUGUUAGUAACCUAAUACGAUAUAUAUGUCUCUUCAUUGAUGUUGAGAAUUGAAACGGUGGUUGGAAUGCCAUAUAAUUUACCUAAAUUUAGGAUAGACUCUUUAAUUACGGAGAGUCGAAAUAGGAUGAACGGAUUAUAUAAACCCGAAGGUAAAUGAUAAUUCAAG
rnacentral:lncRNA from 1 species